rnacentral:rRNA from 1 species
GACGGAGGGUGCAAGCGUUAUCCGGAUUUACUGGGCUUAAAGGGUGCGUAGGUGGGUCUGUAAGUCAGUGGUGAAAUCUCCGAGCUUAACUCGGAAACUGCCAUUGAUACUAUAGAUCUUGAAUUAUCUGGAGGUAAGCGGAAUAUGUCAUGUAGCGGUGAAAUGCUUAGAUAUGACAUAGAACACCAAUUGCGAAGGCAGCUUACUACGGAUCGAUUGACACUGAGGCACGAAAGCGUGGGGAUCAAACAGG